rnacentral:rRNA from 1 species
CCUACGGGAGGCAGCAGUAGGGAAUAUUGCGCAAUGGGGGAAACCCUGAAGCAGCAACGCCGCGUGAAGGAUGAAGGUUUUCGGAUUGUAAACUCCUUUUGUUAGAGAAGAUAGUGACGGUAUCUAACGAAUAAGCACCGGCUCACUCCGUGCCAGCAGCCGCGGUAAUACGGAGGUUGCAAGCGUUACUCGGAAUCACUGGGCGUAAAGGGCGAGUAGGCGGGAUAGCAGGUCAGAUGUGAAAGCCUAUGGCUUAACCAUAGAACUGCAUUUGAAACUGUUAUUCUAGAGUAUGGGAGAGGUAGGUGGAAUUCUUGGUGUAGGGGUAAAAUCCGUAGAGAUCAAGAGGAAUACUCAUGGCGAAGGCGACCUGCUAGAACAUAACUGACGCUGAUGCGCGAAAGCGUGGGGAGCGAACAGGAUUAGAUACCCUUGUAGUC